rnacentral:rRNA from 1 species
CUACCGUGGGCGCAGGAAACUUGAGAGGACUCGUUCUUAGUACGAGAGGACCGGAAUGAACAUACCUCUGGUGUUUCGGUUGUUCCGCCAGGAGCAUUGCCGAGUAGCCAAGUAUGGAUGAGAUAAACGCUGAAAGCAUAUAAGUGUGAAACUCGCCUCAAGAUAAGGUUUCCCUAAAGAGCGCUUGUAGACUACAAGUUUGAUAGGUCAGAAGUGGAAGUGCAGUAAUGUAUGGAGCUAACUGAUACUAAUUGCUCGUUUGGCUUGGUCGC